rnacentral:rRNA from 1 species
GAGUUUGAUCGUGGCUCAGGAUGAACGCUGGCGGCGUGCCUAAUACAUGCAAGUCGAACGAACAGAUAAGGAGCUUGCUCCUUUGACGUUAGCGGCGGACGGGUGAGUAACACGUGGGUAACCUACCUAUAAGACUGGAAUAACUCCGGGAAACCGGGGCUAAUGCCGGAUAACAUGUUGAACCGCAUGGUUCUACAGUGAAAGACGGUCUUGCUGUCACUUAUAGAUGGACCCGCGCCGUAUUAGCUAGUUGGUGGGGUAACGGCCUACCAAGGCGACGAUACGUAGCCGACCUGAGAGGGUGAUCGGCCACACUGGAACUGAGACACGGUCCAGACUCCUACGGGAGGCAGCAGUAGGGAAUCUUCCGCAAUGGGCGAAAGCCUGACGGAGCAACGCCGCGUGAGUGAUGAAGGUCUUCGGAUCGUAAAGCUCUGUUGUUAGGGAAGACAAAUGUGUAAGUAACUGUGCAUAUCUUGACGGUACCUAACCAGAAAGCCACGGCUAACUACGUGCCAGCAGCCGCGGUAA